rnacentral:rRNA from 1 species
GAGUUUGAUCCUGGCUCAGGAUGAACGCUGGCGGCGUGCUUAACACAUGCAAGUCGAGCGCGGUCCCUUUGGUGCUUGCACCAAAGAAGACUGAGCGGCGGACGGGUGAGUAACGCGUGGGUAACCUGCCCUAUACACAUGGAUAACAUGCUGAAAAGCAUACUAAUACAUGAUAACGUACACUGAUGGCAUCUUCGGUGUAUCAAAGCGUUAGCGGUAUAGGAUGGACCCGCGUCUGAUUAGCUAGUUGGUGGGGUAAAAGCCUACCAAGGCCACGAUCAGUAGCCGACCUGAGAGGGUGAUCGGCCACAUUGGAACUGAGACACGGUCCAAACUCCUACGGGAGGCAGCAGUGGGGAAUAUUGCACAAUGGGCGAAAGCCUGAUGCAGCAACGCCGCGUGAACGAUGAAGGUCUUCGGAUCGUAAAGUUCUGUCGCAGGGGAAGAUAAUGACGGUACCCUGUGAGGAAGCACCGGCUAACUACGUGCCAGCAGCCGCGGUAAUACGUAGGGUGCUAGCGUUAUCCGGAUUUACUGGGCGUAAAGGGUGCGUAGGUGGUCUUUCAAGUCGGUGGUUAAAGGCUACGGCUCAACCGUAUUAAGCCGCCGAAACUGGAAGACUUGAGUGCAGGAGAGGAAAGUGGAAUUCUCAGUGUAGCGGUGAAAUGCGUAGAUAUUGAGAAGAACACCAGUAGCGAAGGCGGCUUUCUGGACUGUAACUGACACUGAGGCACGAAAGCGUGGGUAGCAAACAGGAUUAGAUACCCUGGUAGUCCACGCCGUAAACGAUGAGUAUUAGGUGUCGGGGGUUACCCCCCUCGGUGCCGCAGUUAACGCAUUAAAUACUCCGCCUGGGGAGUACGCACGCAAGUGUGAAACUCAAAGGAAUUGACGGGGACCCGCACAAGUAGCGGAGCAUGUGGUUUAAUUCGAAGCAACGCGAAGAACCUUACCUAAGCUUGACAUCUCUCAGAUCGGUAGUUAAUCCUACCUUCCCUUCGGGGCUGAGAUGACAGGUGGUGCAUGGUUGUCGUCAGCUCGUGUCGUGAGAUGUUGGGUUAAGUCCCGCAACGAGCGCAACCCUUGUCUUUAGUUGCCAGCAUUAAGUUGGGCACUCUAGAGAGACUGCCAGGGAUAACCUGGAGGAAGGUGGGGAUGACGUCAAAUCAUCAUGCUCCUUAUGCUUAGGGCUACACACGUGCUACAAUGGGUGGUACAGAGGGUUGCCAAACCGCAAGGUGGAGCUAAUCCCUUAAAGCCAUUCUCAGUUCGGAUUGUAGGCUGAAACUCGCCUACAUGAAGCUGGAGUUACUAGUAAUCGCAGAUCAGAAUGCUGCGGUGAAUGCGUUCCGCGGGUCUUGUACACACCGCCCGUCAAGGAA